UUGAAGAGUUUGAUCAUGGCUCAGAUUGAACGCUGGCGGCAGGCCUAACACAUGCAAGUCGAGCGGUAGCACAGAGAGCUUGCUCUCGGGUGACGAGCGGCGGACGGGUGAGUAAUGUCUGGGAAACUGCCUGAUGGAGGGGGAUAACUACUGGAAACGGUAGCUAAUACCGCAUAACGUCGCAAGACCAAAGUGGGGGACCUUCGGGCCUCAUGCCAUCAGAUGUGCCCAGAUGGGAUUAGCUAGUAGGUGGGGUAACGGCUCACCUAGGCGACGAUCCCUAGCUGGUCUGAGAGGAUGACCAGCCACACUGGAACUGAGACACGGUCCAGACUCCUACGGGAGGCAGCAGUGGGGAAUAUUGCACAAUGGGCGCAAGCCUGAUGCAGCCAUGCCGCGUGUGUGAAGAAGGCCUUCGGGUUGUAAAGCACUUUCAGCGGGGAGGAAGGCGUUAAGGUUAAUAACCUUGGCGAUUGACGUUACCCGCAGAAGAAGCACCGGCUAACUCCGUGCCAGCAGCCGCGGUAAUACGGAGGGUGCAAGCGUUAAUCGGAAUUACUGGGCGUAAAGCGCACGCAGGCGGUCUGUCAAGUCGGAUGUGAAAUCCCCGGGCUCAACCUGGGAACUGCAUUCGAAACUGGCAGGCUAGAGUCUUGUAGAGGGGGGUAGAAUUCCAGGUGUAGCGGUGAAAUGCGUAGAGAUCUGGAGGAAUACCGGUGGCGAAGGCGGCCCCCUGGACAAAGACUGACGCUCAGGUGCGAAAGCGUGGGGAGCAAACAGGAUUAGAUACCCUGGUAGUCCACGCCGUAAACGAUGUCGAUUUGGAGGUUGUGCCCUUGAGGUGUGGCUUCCGGAGCUAACGCGUUAAAUCGACCGCCUGGGGAGUACGGCCGCAAGGUUAAAACUCAAAUGAAUUGACGGGGGCCCGCACAAGCGGUGGAGCAUGUGGUUUAAUUCGAUGCAACGCGAAGAACCUUACCUGGUCUUGACAUCCACAGAACUUUCCAGAGAUGGAUUGGUGCCUUCGGGAACUGUGAGACAGGUGCUGCAUGGCUGUCGUCAGCUCGUGUUGUGAAAUGUUGGGUUAAGUCCCGCAACGAGCGCAACCCUUAUCCUUUGUUGCCAGCGGUCCGGCCGGGAACUCAAAGGAGACUGCCAGUGAUAAACUGGAGGAAGGUGGGGAUGACGUCAAGUCAUCAUGGCCCUUACGACCAGGGCUACACACGUGCUACAAUGGCAUAUACAAAGAGAAGCGACCUCGCGAGAGCAAGCGGACCUCAUAAAGUAUGUCGUAGUCCGGAUUGGAGUCUGCAACUCGACUCCAUGAAGUCGGAAUCGCUAGUAAUCGUAGAUCAGAAUGCUACGGUGAAUACGUUCCCGGGCCUUGUACACACCGCCCGUCACACCAUGGGAGUGGGUUGCAAAAGAAGUAGGUAGCUUAACCUUCGGGAGGGCGCUUACCACUUUGUGAUUCAUGACUGGGGUGAAGUCGUAACAAGGUAACCGUAGGGGAACCUGCGGUUGGAUCACCUCCUU
rnacentral:rRNA from 1 species